UACGGAGGGUGCAAGCGUUAUCCGGAUUCACUGGGUUUAAAGGGUGCGUAGGUGGGUUGGUAAGUCCGUGGUGAAAUCCCCAAGCUUAACUUGGGAACUGCCGUGGAUACUAUCAAUCUUGAAUAUCGUGGAGGUAAGCGGAAUAUGUCAUGUAGCGGUGAAAUGCUUAGAUAUGACAUAGAACACCGAUAGCGAAGGCAGCUUGCUACACGAUCAUUGACACUGAGGCACGAAAGCGUGGGGAGCAAACAGG
rnacentral:rRNA from 1 species